rnacentral:rRNA from 1 species
AUUGAACGCUGGCGGAAUGCUUUACACAUGCAAGUCGAACGGCAGCACGGGGCAACCUGGUGGCGAGUGGCGAACGGGUGAGUAAUACAUCGGAACGUGCCCAAUCGUGGGGGAUAACGUAGCGAAAGUUACGCUAAUACCGCAUACGAUCUACGGAUGAAAGCGGGGGAUCGCAAGACCUCGCGCGAGUGGAGCGGCCGAUGUCAGAUUAGGUAGUUGGUGGGGUAAAGGCUCACCAAGCCAACGAUCUGUAGCUGGUCUGAGAGGACGACCAGCCACACUGGAACUGAGACACGGUCCAGACUCCUACGGGAGGCAGCAGUGGGGAAUUUUGGACAAUGGGCGCAAGCCUGAUCCAGCCAUUCCGCGUGCAGGAUGAAAGGCCUUCGGGUUGUAAACUGCUUUGUACGGAACGAACGGACGAGCUCUAAUACAGUUUGCUAAU